rnacentral:tRNA from 1 species
AUUUAAAUAGCUUAAAUAUAAAGCAUAAUACUGAAAAUAUUAAUAUAAUAGAAAUAUUUUUAAAUA